rnacentral:rRNA from 1 species
AAAACAGCCCUACGGGAGGCAGCAGUAAGGAAUAUUGGUCAAUGGACGAAAGUCUGAACCAGCCAUGCCGCGUGGAGGAUGAAGGUCCUCUGGAUUGUAAACUUCUUUUAUAUGGGACGAAAAAGGGACUUUCUAGUUCAACUGACGGUACCAUAUGAAUAAGCACCGGCUAACUCCGUGCCAGCAGCCGCGGUAAUACGGAGGGUGCAAGCGUUAUCCGGAUUCACUGGGUUUAAAGGGUGCGUAGGUGGGUUGGUAAGUCAGUGGUGAAAUCUCCGAGCUUAACUUGGAAACUGCCAUUGAUACUAUCAGUCUUGAAUACCGUGGAGGUCAGCGGAAU